ensembl:lncRNA
CUCCCCCUUCUUACUUUGUGGAGGACAGCACUCCCCCCUCUGACCUCACGGAGAGCGUUGCUCCCCCGGAUAUAUAAGUCACGUUUUGUACAGCACUCUUUGUCUUGCGUUGUCUUUGUACGUUAUGUUCUCAUGUCUAACGUGUAUUGUGUCAUGAUUGUGUCUGAACUUUGUGCCAUGAGGUCAUAGCUUAUGUUUCAUGUUUGGUUUUUGUCUUUAUUUAAAUUAAAACUGAACUUGCAUCCAUCUCACGUCCCGAUUUGUGACAGUUCUCCUGUCUCUGCUUCAUAAUAACUGCUUUAGGGCAUAAAUGAUAUUUUCUACAAAAUCGACCCACACUCAUCUGACCCAACCUACAACCAAAACGUCCAUCUUGUGUUGUAUUUAAACCCACUCCCAAUUCAGACAACUGUUAUAAACUUGUCAUGUUCCCUGAAAGGGAUUUUACCUGAGGCAGAGGGCAGCAGCUCCAUGCUCCCUGUUCAUCCUUACAGCAUGUGGUUCCAUCAGGACAAGCCGAAGUGUCGUCACAGGGAACAUCAGAAACUGAACACACACAGCGAGAGGUUUAUAUUUUUAUCAGUUAAAAACAUGGAUGCUUUAUUCCUGUAGUUCAACAACGAAUUGUUACUGAUAUCUGAUGACGUACCCUUGGUUUCCGGAGUCUUCUGUUCACCGAUCGGUCGGCUCGGUUCCUUCUUCAGCCAGGGCACCGACCCUGACGGGUCUUCACAUGUCUGAGCAGCGAGGUUACACUUUUUACCAUGAGGACAGCAGUGGAUAAAGUCCUCACAACACACCGCCUGCAAAGAAACAACAUAAUUCACAUUUCACUAAACGUCACUAACGUCAGCUUUAGUCCUACCGAGUUUAAUACUGUUUGCAGAUCACCUGACGUCCCUCCUGUUUAUGGUUAUAGAUUAGUGCCUGCCUACAGUUAUUGCACUUUACCUAUGACAGGCCUUACACAUUAGAACAAGUGAAUUUACCUCCAUGGAUCAAUAAAGUGUGUCUUAGAUUGUCUUCUCUUAUCCUAGUUUAUGGUGUCCUGUCUUGCCUUGUCAUAUCUUGUCUUAUCUUAUAUUGUCUUGCAUAAUGCAUUAUUAUCGCAUUAUCUGUACGUCUGGUGUUAUCUUGUCCUGCCUUUUCUUACCUUUUCUGCUCUAAUCUUAUUUGUAUUAUCUUGUCUUGGCCUACAUUAUCUUACCUUGAAUUUUCUUGUCUUGUAUUAUCUUACCUGCUCUUGGUCACUGUUAUCCUAUCCGGCCUUGAAUUAUCUUGUAUUAGGACAUCUCAUCUUAUAUUAUCUCAUCUUAUAGGGCCAGAGCCAUAUCCCCCUGUAGUUCUUGCCUGGCUUCCCACUGAUGCUAAGCAAGGUUAAGCCUGGUCAGUAUCUGGAUGGGAAACCUCCUGGUGAAAAGUAAAGUUGCUGAUGGAAGUGGUAUUAUUGAGGCCAGCAGGGGGUGAUCACCCUGUGUUCUGUGUGGGGCCUAAUGCCGCAGUAUAGUGACGGAGACACUAUACUCUAAAAACAGCACCGUCUUUCGGAUGAGACGUUAAACAGAGGUCCUGACUCACUGUGGUCAUUAAAAAUCCCAGGACACUUACUGUAAAAGAUUAGGGGCUGGUAGAGUCUGGCCUUGUAUUAUCUUGUCAUAUUGUACCUCAUCUUAUCUUUUCUGCUCCCUCUGGUUCAGUUGCUAUUUAGACCUUUUAAUAAAUCUCUAAACCUGCACUUGUGUUCUUGUCAUUUAUAUGCCAGAACUAGCACGUAACUACGAUACCCAUCAGCCACUGCUACGCACAUGAUCACAUCACAUGACUGGUUACACCUGACUCACACUCGACGCCCCUUCAAGAAGUAUUUUAAAGACGGGUUUUCCAGUCUGGCUGGAGUCUUUCUCCCACCCUCCCUACCCCACCUCUGCCAUCUUGUUCCGCUGAGGAUGUCACUCCGCUGCAGUGAGAAAAUCGCUAUGCUUCCUUGCUUGGCUGAGGACGUCACUCUGUUGCCAUGCUCCUCUCAAGACGUUGCUCCUCCUGUCUGCUUCAUGC